AUUGAACGCUGGCGGCAGGCCUAACACAUGCAAGUCGAACGAGUGGCGGACGGGUGAGUAAUGUCUGGGCAACUGCCUGAUGGAGGGGGAUAACUACUGGAAACGGUAGCUAAUACCGCAUACCCUCAGAUGUGCCCAGAUGGGAUUAGCUAGUUGGUGGGGUAACGGCUCACCAAGGCGACGAUCCCUAGCUGGUCUGAGAGGAUGACCAGCAACACGGGAACUGAGACACGGUCAGGACCCCUACGGGAGGAGGAAGUGGGGAAUAUUGCACAAUGGGGGAAAGCCUGAUGCAGCCAUGCCGCGUGUAUGAAGAAGGCCUUCGGGUUGUAAAGUACGUUCAGCGGGGAGGCGUUACCCGCAGAAGAAGCACCGGCUAACUCCGUGCCAGCAGCCGCGGUAAUAC
rnacentral:rRNA from 1 species